GUGCCUAUUAACCUUUUAUCCACUGCACUACCUGUACUGUCCGCCAGGUGACACCAACACAACGCCAUUUAAAUGUGUUCCAGGUGUUCCCUGUUGCGUCAGUGUGUACAGCAGCACCAGCAGCUCUCAAUAAUAAUAACGAAAAAGAGAACGGAUUACCAUGGAACCUGGUAUUCUGGGGAUUUGUUUCUAAAGAAGUGAGGACAGAAGAGAAGAGACAAACUUCCAGCCCUGGAACCAAUUAGAGCAGGAGGAGCCCCUCCACAAGUCCACCAGACACACUUUGGGUAUGGAGACCGAGGCAGGUGCCACUCUGGAGAAGUAAUCAACAGCACCUCUGUUCUAAGGUGAGAUGGAAAACUUUGGAGAGUGCUGAGUCACACUUGUCUGACAGACUGGCUUGUGAACGAAAUGUAAAGAAGUCUCAGAAUUCUCCUUUGAGCUAUUUCUGAGGUUUCGGAGGACAUUAUCAUAUUUGUCUUAAAGGCACAGAAGCAAAAAUGGAUUUAAGAGACAGAGAGCGGAUGUAAAAUGGACAGUUUGUAAUUUUCUAGUCUUAACUAAUAUUAUAAAUAGACUUAUAAUGCAAGUAAAAUUAACACUUUACAAUAAGGGUAAAUUUGACAUUUGUUAAUGCAGUAGUAUUCAUGAACUUAACACUGAAUAUAUUUACAGGAUUUAUUAAUCUAGUUUAAAGCGAAUUUAUAAAUAUGGUAUUGUUUGCAUUUUAAUUAAUUAGUUUGUGCCCAUUGACAAUACAUUCAUGUCCAUUUAUACUUUACUUGAAAUGUUUAAAAUGUAUUAGUAGUAUAAAUUAAUUAGUAAAAGAAUAUUAACCUAGAUUCAUAAAUUAUUUUGUUCAUGGUUUGUUAAUGAUGCAUAACAUAAUGCAUACACUAAUUUUAAGAAAUGUAACUUACUGUAAAGUUACCAAUUUAAAAAUGAGUGAUAUGUACAAUUUAAAGAAGGAUAUAAAUAUAUAGACAGAUAUAAAAAUAUAAAAUAUGAAUAAAAUAAAAUAGAUGCACUACUCAAGUUUAUGGUCGAGAUGACGUUUAUGAAAGAAGUCUUAUGCUCACCAAAAUACAAAAAAACCCCACAAAUAUUGUGAAAUAUUAUGGAAAUUUAAAAUAACUGUUUUCUAUUUUAAUAUACUUUAAAAUAUAAUUUAUUCCUGUUAUGCAAAGUGGAAUUUUCAGCAGCCAUUAGUCAGGUAUUCAGAGUCACAUGAUCCUUCAUAAUUAUUCU
rnacentral:lncRNA from 1 species